rnacentral:lncRNA from 1 species
AAGGAGUCCUGGGUCAGCAGCCUGCAGAUGGCCAAGCUGGCCCUUGAGGAGGAAAACCAUAUGGGAUGGUUCUGUGUGGAUGACGAUGGCAGCCUCGCCAAGAAAGAGACACACCCUCUCCUGGUGGGACACACGUCUGUGAUGGUGGCCAAGCAGCCAGAGUUCAAGAUCGAAUGUGCAGCUUAUAACCCCGAGCCUUACCCAAGCAACGAUAACCAACCAGCGUCACCCUCCACGGCGCGUGGCUUCCUGUGGAUCGGAAGCUGCAGCAAUCAGAUGGGUCAGGUCGCCAUUGUCUCCUUCCAAAGUGCCAACCCCAAAGUCAUCGAGUGCUUCAAUGUGGAGUCACGCAUCCUGUGUAUGAUUUACAUCCCGGCGGAGGAGUC